GGCUCAGCCUGCCAGAAGACAAAGCCAGCUUAGGAGCAGAGCAACCUUUGAAAACUCCAAAUCUCAUUGAGAAAUCCCAUGAAGAGUCAUAGACAAGCGAGAGCAAACAUAUGGAAGAUGAGAAAGAGACCCAGGACCAGCUGCUUCAAGAACAGAACAUGUCUUCCUUUCCCCUGUAAACGUCCUGAAGCAGGUGACAGUUUGGCUACUGGCAUCCUCUAUACAGCCACACUCCAUAUUUUGUCUUCAUCAUCUCCUGGUAAGAUUACAGAUAACAGACCAGAAGCCGCAUAA
rnacentral:lncRNA from 1 species